rnacentral:rRNA from 1 species
GAAACUGUGGAGCACCUUUUCUUCACGUGCCCCUUUAGUCAGCGGUGCUGGCGUAAGGUUGGGAUGUCAUGGCCGGGGGGCACCAACAGAUUAGCCCUUUUGCAUGGGGGUAAAGAUAGCUGGCAUCGGCCCCUAUUCAUGGAUGUUUUUUUGCUUGCUGCUUGGAGCCUAUGGAUGGAGAGAAACAACCAACAUUUCAGGGGGAUUCCACACUCCUUCGUGGCAUGGCUAGCUAGAUUCAAAAAUCUCUUGGAGCUGGUGGCCCACAACUGUCCAGAGAAAUCCAUUCCUUUUCUCUCUGAUUACAUUGUAAAUUUGGGGCUCUAG